rnacentral:rRNA from 1 species
GACGAACGCUGGCGGCGUGCUUAACACAUGCAAGUCGAACGGAAAGGCCCUGCUUUUGUGGGGUGCUCGAGUGGCGAACGGGUGAGUAUCACGUGAGUAACCUGCCCUUGACUUUGGGAUAACUUCAGGAAACUGGGGCUAAUACCGGAUAGGAGCUCCUGCUGCAUGGUGGGGGUUGGAAAGUUUCGGCGGUUGGGGAUGGACUCGCGGCUUAUCAGCUUGUUGGUGGGGUAGUGGCUUACCAAGGCUUUGACGGGUAGCCGGCCUGAGAGGGUGACCGGCCACAUUGGGACUGCGAUACGGCCCAGACUCCUACGGGAGGCAGCAGUGGGGAAUAUUGCACAAUGGGCGGAAGCCUGAUGCAGCAACGCCGCGUGCGGGAUGACGGCCUUCGGGUUGUAAACCGCUUUCGCCUGUGACGAAGCGUGAGUGACGGUAAUGGGUAAAGAAGCACCGGCUAACUACGUG